UAUUCUAAACUACGUGACGCAAUGUCAUAAUCUAUAUAAAUAUAUAAAAUUAAUGGCUAUCUUUAUGUCCUUUAUUGACUCGAAAACUAUUGGACCGAUUUUAACGGAGUUUUUGCACAAUGUUCUGCAUGAUUCGGAGGUUUAAAGCUAUUGAAAUUUCUGAAAUUCAACCCCUAAAAAAUAACUGACACAGGGAUUUUAGUAUUUUGUGCUAUAAUUUUUGUUGAUUAGGUUACCUUGAUGACAAAGGAAAUAUUAUUAAUAUUUUUGUUAAUUAUGUGGUAUCUACGG